rnacentral:lncRNA from 1 species
GUUGGUCCAAGUGCUUCCAUGCCAUAUGUUAUUUAGGUUUUCGCGUCUCUAUCAGAUGUUGGUCUGAGAAGUAUACUUGGUAAAUAGAAACAUCAUUCUCUGCAUCAACGACCUGAUCAACGAGGUCCUGGCUCUGAAGGCGAGAGGGAAUCAGGUGGUGGCGGCCUGACUUGACCUACAAAGGGCAUUUGACUGCGUAAGAGUCGACACUUUAGAGC